CCUCUACGAAUAUUUACAGAGCCGAUCUGAAUAGAUCCUCUUGACCCUUGCUUUUUUGAACCAAAAGUCUGAAUAGACUUGAACCAAGCCUGGAGAGGCUUUUAAUUUUGAACUCUUUUGAUCUUUCUUUCUUGAUUCUUGAAGAAACCAAGAAUUUUUCUUGAUUCCUCAACUAAUCAGGAAGAACAACAACCAAGAAGUAGUUGUAACU
rnacentral:lncRNA from 1 species